UCCAUAUCCGUGCUCGGACGCUU
rnacentral:miRNA from 1 species